rnacentral:rRNA from 1 species
UACGUAGGGUGCAAGCGUUGUCCGGAAUUAUUGGGCGUAAAGAGCUCGUAGGCGGUUUGUCGCGUCUGCUGUGAAAACUCGGGGCUUAACUCCGGGCCUGCAGUGGGUACGGGCAGACUAGAGUGCGGUAGGGGAGACUGGAAUUCCUGGUGUAGUCGGUGAAAUGCGCAGAUAUCAGGAGGAACACCGGUGGCGAAGGCGGGUCUCUGGGCCGUAACUGACGCUGAGGAGCGAAAGCGUGGGGAGCGAACAGG